GUGGAAGCGAGCGUGCUCGCGAUAACGGUUGGUCAGCCAAAUCAAUAUAGGCUUGGACACCGUCAUCGCGAGCACGCUCGCUCCUAC
rnacentral:ncRNA from 2 species